rfam:Clostridium homopropionicum DSM 5847 CLHOM_contig000034, whole genome shotgun sequence.
GCGGCGGUAGCUCAGUUGGAUAGAGUAGCUGGCUACGAACCAGUUGGUCGGGAGUUCGAAUCUUCUCCGCCGCA